rnacentral:rRNA from 1 species
GUGCCAGCCGCCGCGGUAAUACAGAGGUGGCAAGCGUUGUUCGGAAUUACUGGGCGUAAAGGGCGCGUAGGCGGUUUUGUAAGUUCCGCGUGAAAUCCCCCGGCUCAACCGGGGAAUGGCGUGGAAAACUGCGAGGCUUGAGUUCGGGAGAGGGAAGCGGAAUUCCGGGUGUAGCGGUGAAAUGCGUAGAUAUCCGGAGGAACACCGGUGGCGAAGGCGGCUUCCUGGACCGACACUGACGCUGAGGCGCGAAAGCUAGGGGAGCAAACGGGAUUAGAUACCCUGGUAGUCC